ACUGAGUUGGCUAGCAUGAUUUGUCAUACCAUACUAGGUAAAGAGAUGAAAGAGCUACAUUCUAAUUGGAUUAACCCAACCGACAGUAACAUAUGUUAUACACGACUGAUAGACAUAAAUAUAUUAUUCCAGUGGAAUUCGUGAUAAAUCAUCCAGCAUUGUGGCCAUGGUGAAGAAUAUUCAUGUUUUAUGAGGAAUGUUGGGUUCGAGCUAGACAUGCGACGAUUGACAUGCACAAAUAUAAUAGAAA
rnacentral:misc_RNA from 1 species